UACAGAGGGUGCGAGCGUUGUUCGGAAUUAUUGGGCGUAAAGGGCGCGUAGGCGGUGCGGUAAGUCACCUGUGAAAUCUCCUGGCUCAACUGGGAGCUUGCAGGCGAAACUGCCGUGCUGGAGUGUGGGAGAGGUGAGUGGAAUUCCCGGUGUAGCGGUGGAAUGCGCAGAUAUCAGGAGGAACACCGAUGGCGAAGGCAGGUCUCUGGGCCACUACUGACGCUGAGACACGAAAGCCAGGGGAGCGAACGGG
rnacentral:rRNA from 1 species